UUUAACUGAGCGUUCAGUUACUUGACGUAGACCCGAAACCGGGCGACCUACCCAUGAGCAGGAUGAAGCGAAAGUAAAAUUUCGUGGAGGUCCGAACCCACGAGCGUUGAAAAGCUCGGGGAUGACUUGUGGGUAGCGGUGAAAUUCCAAUCGAGCCCGGAGAUAGCUGGUUCUCCCCGAAAUAGCUUUAGGGCUAGCCUCAAGGUGAGAGAUACGGAGGUAGAGCACUGAAUGUCCUAGGGGGUAUUGCACCUACCGAAGACUAUCAAACUCCGAAUGCCGUCAUCUUAUACUUGGGAGUCAGACUGUGGGUGAUAAGAUUCAUAGUCGAAAGGGCAACAGCCCAGAUCGUCAGCUAAGGUCCCUAAAUGUAAGUUAAGUGGUAAAGGAUGUGGGAUUGCACAGACAACCAGGAUGUUGGCUUAGAAGCAGCCACUCAUUCAAAGAGUGCGUAAUAGCUCACUGGUCGAGUGAUCCUGCGCCGAAGAUUUCCGGGGCUAAAACUUACUACCGAAGCUACGGCAUCAGUAAUGAUGGGUAGGGGAGCUUCCCAUAUGGGUUGAAGCAUGACCGUAAGGACAUGUGGACAGUAUGGGAGUGAGAAUGUUGGCAUGAGUAGCGAGAUGUGGGUGAGAAUCCCACAGGCCGUAAACCCAAGGUUUCCAGGGGAAGGUUCGUCCGCCCUGGGUUAGUCGGGACCUAAGCUGAGGCCGAAAGGCGUAGGUGAUGGACAACAGGUUGAUAUUCCUGUACUACCGAUAACCGUUUGAGAGAAGGGAUGACACAGUAGGAUAAGCUAAGCACACUGUUGGUUAUGUGUGCCCAAGCAUUGAGGCAGUCAAAGUAGGCAAAUCCGCUUUGAUAAUGCUGGGAUGUGAUGGGGAGCGAAAUUUAGUAGCGAAGUAGCUGAUUUCACACUGUCAAGAAAAGUCUCUAUCGAGGUUAAAGGUACCCGUACCGCAAACCGACACAGGUG
rnacentral:rRNA from 1 species